UACGGAGGAUCCAAGCGUUAUCCGGAAUCAUUGGGUUUAAAGGGUCCGUAGGCGGGUUAAUAAGUCAGUGGUGAAAGUCUGCAGCUCAACUGUAGAACUGCCAUUGAUACUGUUAACCUUGAGUAAUGAUGAAGUGGUUAGAAUAGGUAGUGUAGCGGUGAAAUGCAUAGAUACUACAUAGAAUACCGAUUGCGAAGGCAGAUCACUAGUAAUUUACUGGCGCUGAUGGACGAAAGCGUAGGUAGCGAACAGG
rnacentral:misc_RNA from 1 species